UACGUAGGGGGCUAGCGUUGUCCGGAUUUAUUGGGCGUAAAGAGCGUGUAGGCGGCCAGGUAGGUCUGGUGUGAAAACUCGAGGCUUAACCUCGAGAUGUCAUCGGAAACCAUCUGGCUAGAGUCCGGAAGAGGAGAGUGGAAUUCCUGGUGUGAGCGGUGAAAUGCGCAGAUAUCAGGAAGAACACCAACGGCGAAGGCAGCUCGCUGGGACGGUACUGACGCUGAGACGCGAAAGCGUGGGGAGCGAACAGG
rnacentral:rRNA from 1 species